rnacentral:rRNA from 1 species
UACGUAGGGGGCAAGCGUUGUCCGGAAUCAUUGGGCGUAAAGAGCGUGUAGGCGGCCCGGUAAGUCCGCUGUGAAAGUCCAGGGCUCAACCCUGGGAUGCCGGUGGAUACUGUCGGGCUCGAGUCCGGAAGAGGAGUGUGGAAUUCCGUGGUGUAGCGGUGAAUGCGCAGAUAUCGGGAAGAACACCCGUGGCGGAAGGCGGCUCUCUGGGACGGUACUGACGCUGAGACG